rnacentral:rRNA from 1 species
AUUGAACGCUGGCGGCAGGCCUAACACAUGCCAGUCGAGCGGAUGAAGGGAGCUUGCUCCUGGAUUCAGCGGCGGACGGGUGAGUAAUGCCUAGGAAUCUGCCUGGUAGUGGGGGAUAACGUCCGGAAACGGGCGCUAAUACCGCAUACGUCCUGAGGGAGAAAGUGGGGGAUCUUCGGACCUCACGCUAUCAGAUGAGCCUAGGUCGGAUUAGCUAGUUGGUGGGGUAAAGGCCUACCAAGGCGACGAUCCGUAACUGGUCUGAGAGGAUGAUCAGUCACACUGGAAGUGAGACACGGUCCAGACUCCUACGGGAGGAAGCAGUGGGGAAUAUUGGACGAUGGGCGAAAGCCGGAUCCAGCCAUGCCGCGUGUGUGAAGAAGGUCUUCGGAUGGGAAAGCACUGUAAGUUGGGAGGAAGGGAAGUAAGUUAAUACCGUGCUGUAUUGACGGUACCAGCAGAAUAAGCACCGGCUAACUUCGUG